rnacentral:tRNA from 1 species
AAAAAGAUAAGCUAAAGUUAAGCUAGUGGGUUCAUACCCCAUUUAUGAGAAAAUUCUCUCUUUUUA